rnacentral:rRNA from 1 species
CCCUUAGAUGUCCUGGGCUGCACGCGCGCUACACUGACACGUUCAACGAGUUUUGCCUGCUCCGAUGGGACUGGGUAAUCUUAUGAAAGCGUGUCGUGAUGGGGAUAGAUUAUUGCAAUUAUUAAUCUUCAACGAGGAAUUCCUAGUAAGUACAAGUCAUCAGCUUGUGCUGAUUACGUCCCUGCCCUUUGUACACACCGCCCGUCGCUACUACCGAUUGAACGGUUUAGUGAGGGCCUCGGAUUGGUCUCGGCCCGCUCUUUACCGGGCGGCGCCGUUGGUCGAGAAGACGCUCGAACUUGAUCGUUUAGAGGAAGUAAAAGUCGUAACA